rnacentral:rRNA from 1 species
AUUGAACGCUGGCGGCAGGCUUAACACAUGCAAGUCGAGCGGAGAUGAGGUGCUUGCACCUUAUCUUAGCGGCGGACGGGUGAGUAAUGCUUAGGAAUCUGCCUAUUAGUGGGGGACAACAUUCCGAAAGGAAUGCUAAUACCGCAUACGUCCUACGGGAGAAAGCAGGGGAUCUUCGGACCUUGCGCUAAUAGAUGAGCCUAAGUCGGAUUAGCUAGUUGGUGGGGUAAAGGCCUACCAAGGCGACGAUCUGUAGCGGGUCUGAGAGGAUGAUCCGCCACACUGGGACUGAGACACGGCCCAGACUCCUACGGGAGGCAGCAGUGGGGAAUAUUGGACAAUGGGGGAAACCCUGAUCUAGCCAUGCCGCGAGUGUGAAGAAGGCCUUAUGGUUGUAAAGCACUUUAAGCGAGGAGGAGGCUACUGAGACUAAUACUCUUGGAUAGUGGACGUUACUCGCAGAAUAAGCACCGGCUAACUCUGUGCCAGCCGCCGCAGUAA